AUGCAAGUCGAACGAGACCUUCGGGUCUAGUGGCGCACGGGUGCGUAACGCGUGGGAACCUGCCUUAGGUUCGGAAUAACUCAGAGAAAUUUGAGCUAAUACCGGAUAAUGUCUUCGGACCAAAGAUUUAUCGCCUUUAGAUGGGCCCGCGUUGGAUUAGCUAGUUGGUGGGGUAAAGGCCUACCAAGGCGACGAUCCAUAGCUGGUCUGAGAGGGAUGAUCAGCCACACUGGGACUGAGACACGGCCCAGACUCCUACGGGAGGCAGCAGUGGGGAAUAUUGGACAAUGGGCGAAAGCCUGAUCCAGCAAUGCCGCGUGAGUGAUGAAGGCCUUAGGGUUGUAAAGCUCUUUUACCCGAGAUGAUAAUGACAGUAUCGGGAGAAUAAGCUCCGGCUAACUCCGUG
rnacentral:rRNA from 1 species